CCUACGGGUGGCAGCAGUGGGGAAUAUUGCGCAAUGGGCGAAAGCCUGACGCAGCGACGCCGCGUGAGGGAUGAAGGUCUUCGGAUCGUAAACCUCUGUCAGCAGGGAAGAACGGUCACUGUGCUAAUCAGCAGUGAAUUGACGGUACCUGCAAAGGAAGCACCGGCUAACUACGUGCCAGCAGCCGCGGUAAUACGUAGGGGGCAAGCGUUAUCCGGAUUUACUGGGUGUAAAGGGAGCGUAGACGGCAAUACAAGUCGGAAGUGAAAUACCCGGGCUCAACCUGGGAACUGCUUUGGAAACUGUAUGGCUGGAGUGCUGGAGAGGUAAGCGGAAUUCCUAGUGUAGCGGUGAAAUGCGUAGAUAUUAGGAGGAACACCAGUGGCGAAGGCGGCUUACUGGACAGUAACUGACGUUGAGGCUCGAAAGCGUGGGGAGCAAACAGGAUUAGAUACCCUAGUAGUC
rnacentral:rRNA from 1 species